UACGUAGGUGGCGAGCGUUGUCCGGAAUUACUGGGUGUAAAGGGUGCGUAGGCGGGUAAUUAAGUCAGAUGUGAAAUGCCGAAGCUCAACUUCGGAGCUGCAUUUGAAACUGAUUAUCUUGAGUGAAGUAGAGGCAAGCGGAAUUCCCAGUGUAGCGGUGAAAUGCGUAGAUAUUGGGAGGAACACCAGUGGCGAAGGCGGCUUGCUGGGCUUUAACUGACGCUGAGGCACGAAAGCAUGGGGAGCAAACAGGAUUAGAUACCCUGGUAGUCCAUGCUGUAAACGAUGGAUACUAGGUGUGGGGGGUAUUGACCCCUCCCGUGCCGGAGUUAACACAAUAAGUAUCCCACCUGGGGAGUACGGCCGCAAGGUUGAA
rnacentral:rRNA from 1 species